UACGGAGGGGGCUAGCGUUGUUCGGAAUUACUGGGCGUAAAGCGUGCGUAGGGGGUUUGUUAAGUCUGAUGUGAAAGCCCUGGGCUCAACCUGGGAAUUGCAUUGGAUACUGGCAGGCUAGAGUGCGGUAGAGGGUAGUGGAAUUCCCGGUGUAGCAGUGAAAUGCGUAGAGAUCGGGAGGAACACCAGUGGCGAAGGCGACUACCUGGACCAGCACUGACACUGAGGCACGAAAGCGUGGGGAGCAAACAGG
rnacentral:rRNA from 1 species